rnacentral:rRNA from 1 species
UACGGAGGGUGCGAGCGUUGUUCGGAAUUAUUGGGCGUAAAGCGCGCGUAGGCGGCCGUUUAAGUCUCGCUGUGAAAUCUGGGGGCUCAACCCUCACGACUGCAGGGGAUACUGGGCGGCUGGAGACAGGUAGAGGCGAGCGGAAUUCCGGGUGUAGCGGUGGAAUGCGUAGAGAUCCGGAAGAACACCAGAGGCGAAGGCGGCUCGCUGGACCUGGUCUGACGCUGAGGUGCGAAAGCGUGGGGAGCGAACAGG